rnacentral:rRNA from 1 species
CAGUAGCCGCGGGAAAACGAAGGGUGCAAGCGUUACUCGGAAUUACUGGGCGUAAAGCGUGCGUAGGUGGUGGUUUAAGUCCGUUGUGAAAGCCCUGGGCUCAACCUGGGAAUUGCAGUGGAUACUGGAUCACUAGAGUGUGGUAGAGGAUAGUGGAAUUUCCGGUGUAGCAGUGAAAUGCGUAGAGAUCGGAAGGAACAUCUGUGGCGAAAGCACUCUGCUGGGCCGACACUGACACUGAGAGACGAAAGCUAGGGGAGCAAAUGGGAUUAGAGACCCCGGUAGUCCCUGUCUCUUAUAC